UGCAGCCAGGUUAAUAACUUAUAGGUUAGGAGCCGAAGGGAAACCGAGUCUUAAAUAGGGCGAAAGUUGUAUGUUGUAGACCCGAAACCGGGUGACCUAUCCAUGUGCAGGUUGAAACUAGAGUAAAAUCUGGUGGAGGACCGAACCCAUUAGCGUUUAAAAGCUACGGGAUGACGUGUGGAUAGCGGUGAAAUUCCAAUCGAACCCGGAGAUAGCUGGUUCUCCUCGAAAUAGCUUUAGGGCUAGCCUCAAGGAAGAGUAUCGUGGGGGUAGAGCACUGACUGGUCUAGGGGCGUUAUACGUUACCGAAACCUAUCAAACUCCGAAUACCAUAGAUAUGUUGCCUGGGAGUCAGACUGUGAGAGAUAAGUUUCACAGUCGAAAGGGAAAGAGCCCAGACCACCGACUAAGGUCCCCAAAUACAGAUUAAGUGGAAAAGGAUGUAAAACUACACAGACAACCAGGAUGUUGGCUUAGAAGCAGCCAUUCAUUUAAAGAGUGCGUAAUAGCUCACUGGUCGAGUGGUUUUGCGCCGAAGAUGUCCGGGGCUGAAAUCUGUUACCGAAGUUGUGGGAUGACGUGUAUUUCUUCAUAAGUUUAACGAAGCAAAGGACUUAGGACAUCUAAGUUCGAAAUCCAACCUUAAUCUAAAUUAGGAAUAAAUCAAAGGAUUUCGAAUAGAUGCUUUUAAGGAUGAAAUCAAGUUAAGUUAAGCGGAUGAAGAAAUAUACGUCAUCGGUAGAGGAGCAUUGUGUAAGGGUUGAAGUACUAUCGAAAGAAGUUAUGGACUUUACACAAGAGAGAAUGUUGGCAUGAGUAGCGAAAGGGGAGUGAGAAUCUCCCCCAUCGAAAGCCUAAGGCUUCCUGAGGAAGGCUCGUCCGCUCAGGGUAAGUCGGGACCUAAGCCGAGGCCAAAGGGCGUAGGCGAUGGACAACCGGUUGAAAUUCCGGUACCACCUUUAAGCGUUUGAGAGAUGGGGUGACACAGAAGGGUAGGCUGAGCGCACUGAUGGAAUAGUGCGUCCAAGUAAGUAGGGAGAUGAGGUAGGCAAAUCCGCUUCAUCAAUCCUGAGAUACGAAGGGGAGCGAAAAUAAGUAGUGAAGCAGCUGAGCCCAUGCUGUCGAGAAAAGCCUCUAUCGAGCAAGAAGGUGCCCGUACCGCAAACCGACACAGGUAGGCAAGGAGAGAAUCCAAAGAUGAGCGGAAGAACUAUUGUUAAGGAACUAGGCAAAAUGACCCCGUAACUUCGGGAGAAGGGGUGCCGUGAGGUGUGAAGAUUGAACAAUCGGAGCAUCAUGCGGCCACAGAAAACAGGCCCAAGCGACUGUUUACCAAAAACACAGGUCUCUGCUAAAUCGAAAGAUGAAGUAUAGGGGCUGACACCUGCCCGGUGCUGGAAGGUUAAGGGGAGAAGUUAUCGCAAGAGAAGCUUUGAACUUAAGCCCCAGUAAACGGCGGCCGUAACUAUAACGGUCCUAAGGUAGCGAAAUUCCUUGUCGGGUAAGUUCCGACCCGCACGAAAGGUGUAACGAUUUGGGCACUGUCUCAACAAUAGAUCCGGUGAAAUUGUAGUACUCGUGAAGAUGCGAGUUACCCGCGGCAGGACGGAAAGACCCCAUGGAGCUUUACUGCAGGCUGACAUUGGAAUUCGGCAGCAAUUGUACAGAAUAGGUGGGAGACUGAGAAGCCGGUACGCCAGUAUUGGUGGAGUCACCUUUGGGAUACCACUCUAUUGUUGCUGAAUUUCUAACAUGGUACCGUGAACCGGUACAUGGACACUGUCAGUUGGGCAGUUUGACUGGGGCGGUCGCCUCCGAAAGAGUAACGGAGGCGCUCAAAGGUUCCCUCAGCACGGUCGGAAAUCGUGCGAAGAGUGUAAAGGCAGAAGGGAGCUUGACUGCGAGAGAGACAUCUCGAGCAGGAACGAAAGUUGGACUUAGUGAUCCGGUGGCACCGAGUGGAAAGGCCAUCGCUUAACGGAUAAAAGCUACCCUGGGGAUAACAGGCUUAUCUCCCCCAAGAGUCCACAUCGACGGGGAGGUUUGGCACCUCGAUGUCGGCUCGUCACAUCCUGGGGCUGGAGAAGGUCCCAAGGGUUGGGCUGUUCGCCCAUUAAAGUGGCACGCGAGCUGGGUUCAGAACGUCGUGAGACAGUUCGGUCCCUAU
rnacentral:rRNA from 1 species